GGGCUAGCGUUGCUCGGAAUCACUGGGCGUAAAGGGUGCGUAGGCGGGUCUUUAAGUCAGGGGUGAAAUCCUGGAGCUCAACUCCAGAACUGCCUUUGAUACUGAGGAUCUUGAGUUCGGGAGAGGUGAGUGGAACUGCGAGUGUAGAGGUGAAAUUCGUAGAUAUUCGCAAGAACACCAGUGGCGAAGGCGGCUCACUGGCCCGAUACUGACGCUGAGGCACGAAAGCGUGGGGAGCAAACAGG
rnacentral:rRNA from 1 species